rnacentral:lncRNA from 1 species
UUAGCAUUAUAACCACAAUCACAACAUCAUGCAUCUGUCCACAUAGCUUGUGAACACCAACCUGUAUAACAACAUAUAGUGCACAUUCUCAACAUCAUCAAUAUCAACGCAUCAUCAAGCAAUACCCAUCAUGCAAUUAUCAAUAGUCAAACCACUGCAUCAGAUAAAGUUUCCAACCAAGUACAUCAAACCCUAUACUACCAACAGAAGCAAAUAAGUUCAAAAUACAAAACCAAAAAGAUAGAAAAAUCAUGCUCUAGUGCAGAUAGCAUCCAUCAGUAGAUGUUAUCUCAUCUCCUCAGCCCAUGCUGUCAUCAGAACUCUCUUCCUCUCCUUCUUCAGCAACCUCAUAGUCGUCAUCCUCAUCAUCCUCCUCCAUGACUAGAGCUUUAGCUGCUCCAGCUCCACUAGCCUGUGCAUCAUCCUCUGGCCAUGCCACCACGUUGUUGAACUCAUCCAAGGUCCACCGGUGUGCAGGGGGCGUGUCAUAAUGCCCAAUGAUCAUCUCAGCAGUGGCCACCUGCCCU